AGGAUUGGCAAGAGAUUGUAGCCCUGUAUGAGAAGGACAACACCUACCUAGUGGAACUCUCUAGCCUCUUGGUUCGGAAUGUCAACUACGAGAUCCCCUCACUAAAGAAGCAGAUCGCCAAGUGCCAGCAGCUCCAGCAAGAAUACAGCCGCAAGGAGGAGGAGGGCCAGGCUGGGGCCGCUGAGAUGCGGGAGCAGUUCUACCACUCAUGCAAGCAGUAUGGCAUCACGGGAGACAAUGUCCGAAGAGAACUUCUGGCCCUGGUGAAGGACCUGCCCAGUCAGCUGGCUGAGAUUGGUGCAGGGGCUCAGUCCCUGGGCGAAGCCAUUGAACUGUACCAGGCCUGUGUAGGAUUUGUGUGUGAAAGGUAAAAGGAUCACAACUUCUCUCUAGCAGGGGGUGGCUUACUUGUGUUCCCUGGCUCUUCCCCACUGCCAUUUUCCCCACAUAGCACAUGAACUGGAGAGAGAGAAAGUGUGUGUGUGUGUGUGUGUGUG